UGGCUUAGUGGUUAAAAGCACUGCCUGCUCUUCCAGAGGUCCUGGGUUCAAUUCCCAG
rnacentral:tRNA from 1 species